UAAUACGGAGGGGGCAAGCGUUACUCGGAAUUAUUGGGCGUAAAGGGCGCGUAGGCGGUCUCGUGCGUCAGGGGUGAAAUCCCCGGGCUUAACCCGGGACGUGCCUCUGAUACGGCGAGACUUGAGUCCGGGAGAGGGGAGCAGAAUUCCCAGUGUAGCGGUGAAAUGCGUAGAUAUUGGGAGGAAUACCAGUGGCGAAGGCGGCUCCCUGGACCGGUACUGACGCUGAGGCGCGAAAGCGUGGGUAGCAAACAGG
rnacentral:rRNA from 1 species